UCAAUAAUUCAUUCCAUAACAUUCAAAACUGAAAUCAAAAAUUUCUUCGGAACAAAAAAAAAUGGGAAGCAAGAGAGAUUACGGUUUAGCUUCGAUUAUAACCAGUAUUAUGGUUCUCAAAAAGUAAAAACAAAUCUUCCCUGGGUGAAAUCAAUAAUUCAUUCCAUAACAUUCAAAACCGAAAUUAAAAAUUUCUUUGGAACAAAAAAUGGGGAGCAUGAGAGAUUACGGUUUAGCUUCAAUUAUAAUCAGCAUUAUGGUAUCCAGUAGCAUUGGGCGAGCAGAACCUUCCCUGCGAUUCGAUAUGCUUAUCGAGGCGGACUCGGCCAACAGGAAGAGGACUCCGUUGACUGGAAGAGGACUCCGUUGACAGGAACAGGACUCGAUCGAGAGGAAGAAGAAGAAAGAUUUCUUCCUGGGUCGAG
rnacentral:lncRNA from 1 species